CUGUGCCCCGGCCGAACCCGCGGGCAAAUUAUCGUACACGGUAAAAAUCGGACGCGUAACGGUUCGAUAUUUCCUACGGAUAUCUUCUGCUUCGCCACUGUUGUUUAUUGAACGCGAUCCAUUUUUUAAAACGAAAUAAAUUGUAAAAUGUGGUUUUUUUUUCUUUAUACGCUAUAUAAAAACAUAAUUAGUCGGAGUCGCGAAAAUUGAGUGCCGGUGGCAGCGUUUCCGGUGACCAUCCCAUCAGACGGCUACGAAUAUACGUUUCUUCUACAAUGUGCGCGAAGAAUUAAUAUUACGGGCGCGAGACGUCCAGUGCUUAGAAGUUAGGUUAGGUUAGGUUGUAAGUGUGGCUGUAAAAAACGAUACUUCAACGCCGAGUAUUGGCCC